rnacentral:rRNA from 1 species
GAUCCUGGCUCAGGAUGAACGCUAGCUACAGGCUUAACACAUGCAAGUCGAGGGGCAGCAUGUGGUUGCUUGCAACCAAUGAUGGCGACCGGCGCACGGGUGAGUAACGCGUAUCCAACCUUCCCUAUAGUAGAGGAUAGCCCGGCGAAAGUCGGAUUAAUACUCUAUGUUUUCCAAUGCAGACAUCUAAAAUGGAACAAAGGUUCACCGCUAUAGGAUGGGGAUGCGUCUGAUUAGAUAGUCGGCGGGGUAACGGCCCACCGAGUCGACGAUCAGUAGGGGUUCUGAGAGGAAGGUCCCCCACAUUGGAACUGAGACACGGUCCAAACUCCUACGGGAGGCAGCAGUGAGGAAUAUUGGUCAAUGGGCGAGAGCCUGAACCAGCCAAGUAGCGUGCAGGAUGACGGCCCUAUGGGUUGUAAACUGCUUUUAUACAGGGAUAAAGUGACGUACGUGUACGUUUUUGUAGGUACUGUAUGAAUAAGGACCGGCUAAUUCCGUGCCAGCAGCUGC